rnacentral:rRNA from 1 species
UACGUAGGGUCCGAGCGUUGUCCGGAAUUAUUGGGCGUAAAGAGCUCGUAGGUGGUUUGUCGCGUCGUCUGUGAAAUCCCGGGGCUUAACCUCGGGCGUGCAGGCGAUACGGGCAUAACUUGAGUGCUGUAGGGGAGACUGGAAUUCCUGGUGUAGCGGUGAAAUGCGUAGAUAUCAGGAGGAACACCAAUGGCGAAGGCAGGUCUCUGGGCAGUAACUGACGCUGAGGAGCGAAAGCAUGGGUAGCGAACAGGAUUAGAUACCCU